UGGGGAAUAUUGGACAAUGGGCGAAAGCCUGAUCCAGCCAUGCCGCGUGAGUGAUGAAGGCCUUAGGGUUGUAAAGCUCUUUUAGCAGGGAAGAUAAUGACGGUACCUGCAGAAAAAGCCCCGGCUAACUUCGUGCCAGCAGCCGCGGUAAUACGAAGGGGGCUAGCGUUGCUCGGAAUUACUGGGCGUAAAGCGCACGUAGGCGGACCCUUAAGUCGGUGGUGAAAUCCUGGAGCUCAACUCCAGAACUGCCUUCGAUACUGGGAGCCUUGAGUUCGGGAGAGGUAAGUGGAACUGCGAGUGUAGAGGUGAAAUUCGUAGAUAUUCGCAAGAACACCAGUGGCGAAGGCGGCUCACUGGCCCGAUACUGACGCUGAGGUGCGAAAGCGUGGGGAGCAAAC
rnacentral:rRNA from 1 species